AAAUAAGGUCCCGUGAGCUCCACCGGAAGGGGAGCGACUUGACCAUGACCUUCCGGUAGAUAUCGCCUUGUGUGCGAUGUUGUAUUACACGCAGUCUUUUCCGGCGCAGAUGAGGACUUGAGGAGACGUCGCAUUUGUGCCCAGCCCCAGACUUACAUCUCCGAGACCUGUGAACAAUCUGAGUGUGGCUCAGCUUCAGUGGUUGCAACGUUGAGCUUACCUGCCGAUUCAGGACAAGUUAGUCAACAUACAGUACAUGUGUUUGCUAGACCAAUAGCCUUCUUGUUCUUCUAUCCACACAAACACACAGAGAUUCCUAGAAUUGGUAGAUAGAACAAGGGAUUGACAUUUUCCAUUAAAAAUAGAUGUAUCAGUGUCACAAGCUCAUACUAAGAUGACAGACACAAUUGACAAGCUGGCAACAUUCUUUGUUACCUAGAAACAUACAGGGAAUACUUUAGAGAUGUCGGAUUGAAAACUAUUGUUCUGCAAAAUGCCCGGUCCUUUUACAUGUCGAUCCUGU